AUGUCAACUAGAGAUAUAAUUGCAGCAUUACAUAGGAAGAAGCCAAGGCCUUGUUGGACGACAUUUUUCUAUGGCCACCAGUUACACUAUUCUGAACAGUCAGAUUCAGUUACAAAUGUUUUUCAGAACCAGCACAGAACUGAAUAUUCUAUUGGAAGAGUCAUUCUUGAGGAUUUCCAGUGGGCACCUGCUUGGUCCUUUUCCAUGGAGUGUUUGCUAUUUGGAGAUGAAUGUUCGUUUGAAGCUCUGUUGGGCUGCCACAUCUAUAGUGCGUGUUUGUUGGAUAAAAGCAUGGGGAUCACUCUAGGAAGCGAUGCAAGCUGCGGUGAAUGCAUAAUAAUCAGUCCUUGCCGUCCCCAAUUUCAACCCGAACAAUGUGAAGGUACUUGUUUCUAUAGCUUUCGUGUUGUAGUUUUUUCACGAAUUGUUCCUGCGAUGAGGCUUGCAUACUUUGAGAGGCCUGGAAUGGGGCUAUAUCAGGAAUAUAUGCAGCUGAUUGGUAUGAUUGGGAGGCAGGUUCCUGCUCUUGAUUUAUGGGCUACCAGAAUUGUGUUCCAGCCAAGGAAAACAGAGGGCGUGCAGCCUAGCGCAUAUUCCUUCUAUUUGGAAAUUUCCAUUCAACACCGCCCAUGUUUUCAACGAACAAGUUUCCAGUUCAGGAGGUGUGCUACUCUGAACCUCUUAACCACAAGCUUGGUAAUGGUAGUGGCCUUUCCACCGGUAUUUGAAGAGGGACAGACAAGUGCCAUGCUCUGUAUGGACCAGAUGAUGAUGAAAACUGGGCAUGUUAUUCAAUGUGGUCUGGAGUAUGUCCAAUGGGAGAUUGCACGGUCACUUAACUUGAAGUACAUGGAUAUCAUCAAACAGUCCAAGCAACAAAUUCUUGCCGCAACAUACCCUGAGUUGUAUUUUCCAUGGGAUCCAGGCGAUGUCGUACCACAACAUAUCCUGCUUACAACCAGACCAUGGGCUCUGGCAUCAGCCAAUCGACAUGUUGCUAGGAUCUCCUCUUAUGUGCCUGUUCUUGGGGGAGAAUUCUUUGCUCCAUGGAAUAAUGGUAGCUGCAACAGGGGGAGCUGUCAUUGCAGAGUGCUAGUCUAUCUUCACAUGGACGAGUUCAGUUGCCUAAGAAUACAGUAUCCUAACGGCAGAAGGCUCGUUGGGGAAGAGUGUUCCUAUGGAAGAUUUCCUGGCCAAUGGUUCUGGAGCACUCUACUAUUGACAAGACACCUAAUUCAUGUAGAAACACUGAGGUCCUUCGCACAAGCUAAAGCUACAGCAGGGAUGAAGGUUGAAGCUCCAACCUUCUAUUGCGUCUGCUACCUUGGCCAAGACCCCGACGGCCACAACUACUACAUCGUCCUCAUUCAAGUGCAUCCCGUCAUUCGACUACGGCUACCACGACGAGCCCAUUACCACCAGCAAAAUUCAAGUUCCAUGGGAUCCUGGUGGUUCAACAUGGCGUCGGCUUGA
rnacentral:rRNA from 1 species